rnacentral:rRNA from 1 species
CGCUCUUUGUUAUUUAAAAUUUAAGGAGUCGAGCCUGCCCAGUGAUGAGAUUUAACGGCCGCGGUACUCUGACCGUGCAAAGGUAGCAUAAUCAUUUGCCUUAUAAUUGAAGGCUUGUAUGAAUGGUUUGACAAGAGUAAUGCUGUCUCCUUUUAAUUCUGUAGAAUUUGGUUUUUGGGUGAAGAAACCUAAAUGUUAUUGAAAGACAAGAAGACCCUAUCGAGCUUUAAAGUAGUCUGUUAGUGAGUGGUGCUGUUAAAGGAUAAGUUUUAAUGGAAGAUUUUGGUUGGGGCGACUGAGGAACAAGUAAAGCUUCCUUUAUAGAGUUUAUGCGUAUGCGCUGGUGAUCCAAAAGUUUUGAUUAAAAGAAUUAGUUACCGUAGGGAUAACAGCAUAAUCUUUUUUGAGAGUUCUUAUCGAAAAGAAGGUUUGUGACCUCGAUGUUGGACUAGGGUAUCCGGAGAGAUGCAGAAGUCUUCAAUGGUUGGUCUGUUCGACCAUUAAUAUCCUACGUGAUCUGAGUUCAGACCGG